rnacentral:rRNA from 1 species
AUGAGUAUCCAGGUUCCGCUAUUGGUUAUUGACCUCUCGGAUGGCCUCCUGGUUAAAUUCUUCCAGACCUUCUGGAAUGUUAUCAAGCCUGAGAUCUUGGCCAUAUUCGACGAAUUCUACGUUGGGUCCAUUGACCUCAGGUGCCUCAACUAUGGGAUCAUUUCGCUCGUCCCAAAGGUGCCUGGGGUGUCCAAAAUCCGCCAGUUUCGCCUGAUCACGGUGAUAAAUGUGAUAUUAUGGAUCCUGGAAAAAGGGUACGCCAAUAGGGUGACCCUCCUAGCUGACCUCAUUACCCACCCCAACCAAUCCACCUUCAUUCGAGGCCGGUACAUCCUGGAUGGGGUGCUAGUCCUUCAUGAAGUCCUGCAUGAGGUCCGCUCUAAGCACCUCAGGGGUUUCCUGAAGAUUGAUUUCCAUAAGGCUUAUGACACUGUUAGCUGGCCUUUCCUUCGUGAAGUUUUGCUACGGAAGGGCUUCGACGAGCGAUGGAUCACCAGAGUGAUGCAUAUGGUCUCCUGUGGUCGCACUGCUGUGAACAUCAAUGUAGAGAUUGGCCCGUACUUCCCUACUCUUUGUGGGGUUAGACAAGGCGACCCUUUCUCUCCAUUCUUGUUCAAUAUGGUGGUCAACGCGCUUGCCGCCAUCCUGGACAAGGCCAAGGCGGCCGACCACAUUCAUGGGAUCACUCCCCAUCUGGCCGGCGGCUCUAGGAUCUUCAUGCUCCAGUACGCCGACGACACCAUCAUCAUGGUUGAAGGCUCGGACUCGGACAUCGCUAAUCUUAAGUUCCUCCUCCUAUGCUUCCAACAAAUGUAUGGCCUCAAGAUCAACUUCGAUUAG